UACAGAGGUCCCAAGCGUUGUUCGGAUUCACUGGGCGUAAAGGGUGCGUAGGUGGCCGGGUAAGUCUGACGUGAAAUCUCCAAGCUCAACUUGGAAACUGCGUCGGAUACUAUCCGGCUCGAGGAUCGGAGGGGAGACUGGAAUACUUGGUGUAGCAGUGAAAUGCGUAGAUAUCAAGUGGAACACCAGUGGCGAAGGCGAGUCUCUGGACGAUUCCUGACACUGAGGCACGAAAGCCAGGGGAGCAAACGGG
rnacentral:rRNA from 1 species